CCACUAUUAGUAUUUAUGUGCCGCAAUGCACUGAUACAUAGAUGAACUAUUUGAGUUGCAAAAAAUUAACUUCUCUGAAUAUUUAUUAAUGGUUAGACAAUUGGAUUCCUUUAUAAGAAGGAAAAGAUAUUGUAAGUAUGGAAAAAACCUUACUUGAAUGUAUACUUACAUUUUGAUAGGCAUAUUUUGAAGUCACCACUUCCCAUCAGUAUAAAAUAUCAACCAUUUCUAUGUUCUCUAGCAAAAAGAAAUUCGUAGUUGGAUAGAACUUUGCUCU
rnacentral:lncRNA from 1 species